rfam:Desulfotomaculum australicum DSM 11792 genome assembly, contig: EJ60DRAFT_scaffold00003.3
UCCAUCGUGAGGUGGAAUCGGAUCGGUGCGCCGGCGGCAAAACCACGGCCCGAUGAACAAGAACCCCAUAAGAGGCUAAGCCGUUCGGAUGAGCUGGCACAACACAGCGAAAUCCCAGGCUGCCAAGGGACGG